GUAGUCCAUGCUGUAAACGAUGAGAACUAGCCGUUAGGACGAUAGAGUUCUAGUGGCGCAGCUAACGCGAUAAGUUCUCCGCCUGGGGAGUACGGCCGCAAGGUUAAAACUCAAAUGAAUUGACGGGGGCCCGCACAAGCGGUGGAGCAUGUGGUUUAAUUCGAUGCAACGCGAAGAACCUUACCUGCUCUUGACAUCCACAGAAUCUUGUAGAGAUAUGAGAGUGCCUUCGGGAACUGUGAGACAGGUGCUGCAUGGCUGUCGUCAGCUCGUGUCGUGAGAUGUUGGGUUAAGUCCCGUAACGAGCGCAACCCUUGUCCUUAUUUGCUAGCGAGUUAAGUCGAGCACUCUAAGGAGACUGCCGGUGACAAGCCGGA
rnacentral:rRNA from 1 species